AAUAAAUACAGUUUUACGCUAUUCAUGUUCAACGUUUGACGUUCGUCUUAUUUAAAUUUUUUUAUGAUUAAUAUUUUUAUUACUAUUAGAUGAUAAAACAUAAAUAGUACUUAAUGUGUGACUAAAUAUUUUUAAAUUUUUCACAAAUUUUUUAAAUCAGAUGAAAGGUUAAACAUUGGGCACAGAUAUCCACCAUUGCAAUUAUU
rfam:Oryza rufipogon genomic scaffold, chr01